GCCCUUCGGGGUGCUGACGAGUGGCGGACGGGUGAGUAAUGCGUAGGAAUCUACCUAGUUGAGUGGGAUAGCCUAGGGAAACUUAGGGUAAUACCGCGUAAGCCCGAGAGGGGAAAGCAGGGGACCGAAAGGCCUUGCGCGAUUAGAUGAGCCUACGUCGGAUUAGCUUGUUGGUGGGGUAAAGGCCUACCAAGGCGAUGAUCCGUAGCUGGUCUGAGAGGACGACCAGCCACACUGGGACUGAGACACGGCCCAGACUCCUACGGGAGGCAGCAGUGGGGAAUAUUGGACAAUGGGCGCAAGCCUGAUCCAGCAAUGCCGCGUGUGUGAAGAAGGCCUGCGGGUUGUAAAGCACUUUCAGUGGGGAGAAAGAUCCCUGUACUAAUACUACAGGGGGAUGAUGUUACCCACAGAAGAAGCACCGGCUAACUCUGUG
rnacentral:rRNA from 1 species